CAGCCGGUCAUCAAUCCUUCCCAUAAUAUAAUAUUUGUACAAUUGUUGUGUUUUAAAAUUGGCCACAAGAUGGCCAUCAUGAGUGGGCAGCCGUAGCACUUGUGUAUAAGAGGGUUUGUUUCCCUUGUUUGUAGACUUAGAUGGAGAGGGAGUGAGUUAGUGAGCGGCACCAAAUUGUAAGAGAGAUUUGAGAGUUUUCCUUUAAUGGCAAUUGUAUAGCUUUGUAAAGGAAUAAGAGAAGUAG
rnacentral:misc_RNA from 1 species